UUUAUGUAGUUCCUAUUUUUCUCUUUAGAGCGUUAAGAUAGGAGCAAUUUAGAGGGGGGUUUCAGUUUGUUUCUUGAUUUGGGCUUUGGGUUACUUCUCCUUUCUCCUUUUCUGGUUCUUUGAUUGGAUUGUUUCGUACGAAGAAAAAAGUGAACCGUGACAAUUUUUGCAGUGAAAGGAGCAGCAUGCGGUGGUGGUUGAGUCAGUCAGUCCAUGUUUUUGGAAAAGUUCUCUCCUUGAACUUGUAUUGUAGAGUGAUUCUGUAAUU